rnacentral:rRNA from 1 species
UACGUAGGGGCAAGCGUUGUCCGGAUUUAUUGGGCGUAAAGAGCUCGUAGGCGGUUUGGUGAGUCGGGUGUGAAAUCUCCACGCUCAACGUGGAGGGGCCACCCGAUACUGCCAUGACUAGAGUCCGGUAGGGGAGUGUGGAAUUCCCGGUGUAGUGGUGAAAUGCGUAGAUAUCGGGAGGAACACCUGUGGCGAAAGCGGCGCACUGGACCACAUCUGACGCUGAGGCGCGAAAGCUAGGGGAGCAA